rnacentral:lncRNA from 1 species
UGCUAGAUCUGCUAUAGUGCGAGAUCUCAUUUGAUAUAAUAGUUUGAUGUUCUUGGUUGUACAUGCAUAAUCUUGUAGAGUUCUAUAGGUGCCCUCAGUUAAUCUAUUUUCUCACUUUCUCAUAGUUUUGUGUAUAAACUGAAUCUUCACAAACGAAAUAAACGGAUGAGAUUCUUAGGUGCUGUUUUGAUGUGGAAACUGGUCUUCAAAUUAAUAUUACGUUAUUAGUGCUAUUGACGGGAUUUGCGAGAGCCCAACAUCAAUCAAUUGAUUAGUGUUUGGUAAUGCAAAAAUUUAUGUAUUGACUUGUGGUUGUGAAUUUUGAAAAUUUAGAGUUAUUUUCUUUGUAUUGCUCUUCGCUGGCUAAUGAAAGCAGUUAAGGAUUUGGGCACCAAAAUUCAUAGUCUGUAAUGUAUCUAUGUUGCAGACUGUACGAGCAUGGUGCAAUAUUGAAGUUAUCUCUUUGCUUGUUCAUAGCUACUCCUCAUGUAUUGUCAUUCAACCAUUGAGGAAGGUCUAGCGAGAGAACAUGUUGCCUUAGUGCUAAUCAGUGUUCUUGAUCUGAUAGGGUACUUAUUGAUUAGUAACUUAUGACUGAAAGUGUUAUUGGCUUGUUUUAUGAAACCAUCUAAAGCCAUCAUUGUCUUAGGCUUAUGGUAUUACACUAUUACAAAGAUAUAUAUUGUCUAUCUAUGUUAGUGUAGCAUGACAUAAACUAAACUACUUGAUGAUAAUGCAGAUCAUAAAUUAGAAACAGAACAACUGUUUGUUACAAAAUGUGAUUGAAGAAUAAGUAAAGUAAACAAUGUGUUAAGUGGAUCUCCCUCUUCCUUUUCUCCGGGCUUGGGACCGGCUGUGCAAAUGACAAAAUAACAAGCAUUACACAGGCGGAGUUAAGAUUUUUGUUGAGCCAAACAUGUUUUUGGCUUUUUUAUUUAGGUGCUUUGGUUUCUGGAGAUGGUAUAACCUACAUAGUAAAAUGGAUAUCUCAUCUAGUUAAG